GAUGAACGCUGGCGGCGUGCCUAAUACAUGCAAGUCGAGCGAACGGACGAGAAGCUUGCUUCUCUGAUGUUAGCGGCGGACGGGUGAGUAACACGUGGAUAACCUACCUAUAAGACUGGGAUAACUUCGGGAAACCGGAGCUAAUACCGGAUAAUAUUUUGAACCGCAUGGUUCAAAAGUGAAAGACGGUCUUGCUGUCACUUAUAGAUGGAUCCGCGCUGCAUUAGCUAGUUGGUAAGGUAACGGCUUACCAAGGCAACGAUGCAUAGCCGACCUGAGAGGGUGGUCGGCCACACUGGAACUGAGACACGGUCCAGACUCCUACGGGAGGCAGCAGUAGGGAAUCGUCCGCAAUGGGCGAGAGCCUGACGGAGCAACGCCGCGUGAGUGAUGAAGGUCUUCGGAUCGUAAAACUCUGUUAUUAGGGAAGAACAUAUGUGUAAGUAACUGUGCACAUCUUGACGGUACCUAAUCAGAAAGCCACGGCUAACUACGUG
rnacentral:rRNA from 1 species